rnacentral:misc_RNA from 1 species
AUGAGUUAGGGUCUUCCAGGCCCAAUCUCCAACCCUUUGUAUAACUACUAUGUUGCUUUGGCGGGCCCGUCUUUAACCGGACCGCUGGGAAUUUUUAUUCCUUGGCCAGUGCUCGUCAAUAGCCCUUAAUAACUCUAUUAACCAUGUCAAAUCUGAAAAUAGUUAAAUAAACUA